rnacentral:tRNA from 1 species
GGAGGGGUACCAAAGCGGUCAAAUGGGGCGGGCUGUAAACCCGUUGACUYCGGUCUUCGAAGGUUCGAAUCCUUCYCCCUCCACCA